rnacentral:rRNA from 1 species
CCAGACUCCUACGGGAGGCAGCAGUGGGGAAUAUUGGACAAUGGGGGGAACCCUGAUCCAGCGACGCCGCGUGAGUGAAGAAGUAUUUCGGUAUGUAAAGCUCUAUCAGCAGGGAAGAAAGAAAUGACGGUACCUGAAGAAGAAGCCCCGGCUAACUACGUGCCAGCAGCCGCGGUAAUACGUAGGGGGCAAGCGUUAUCCGGAUUUACUGGGUGUAAAGGGGGCGCAGACGGCGAUGCAAGCCAGGAGUGAAAGCCCGGGGCCCAACCCCGGGACUGCUCUUGGAACUGCGUGGCUGGAGUGCGGGAGGGGCAGGCGGAAUUCCUGGUGUAGCGGUGAAAUGCGUAGAUAUCAGGAGGAACACCGGCGGCGAAGGCGGCCUGCUGGACCGCGACUGACGUUGAGGCUCGAAAGCGUGGGGAGCGAACAGGAUUAGAUACCCCAGUA